CCUACGGGAGGCAGCAGUGAGGGAUAUUGCGCAAUGGGCGAAAGCCUGACGCAGCGACGCCGCGUGGGCGAGGAAGGCCUUCGGGUUGUAAAGCCCUUUUGGCAGGGAAGAGCAAGGACUGUACCUGCAGAACAAGUCACGGCUAACUACGUGCCAGCAGCCGCGGUAAAACGUAGGGGGCGAGCGUUGUCCGGAGUUACUGGGCGUAAAGGGCGUGUAGGCGGUUGGAUAAGUCUGGUGUGAAAUGCCGGAGCUUAACUUUGGCACUGCGCUGGAAACUGUCGGACUGGAGUUCGGUAGGGGUAACGGGAAUUCCCGGUGUAACGGUGAAAUGUGUAGAUAUCGGGAGGAACACCCGUGGCGAAGGCGGGUUACUGGGCCGCAACUGACGCUGAGACGCGAAAGCGUGGGGAGCAAACAGGAUUAGAUCCCCUGGUAGU
rnacentral:rRNA from 1 species